CUUGCCUCAUCAACAUCUAAACCCUUCUCUUCAACCUCACUUUUGAAGCCAACAAGAUCAUCAGAGGCUGACAAUUCAAGCAAAACUGAGCAUUUGCACGAGAUACUGUCCUUCUGGCUGCCAGAUUCGACUUCCAUGGUGGGAUUUGAAGGGGAAAGUUUACUCUUGGAACCACUGCACAUACCCUAAGCCUCUAUAAGUAGUACUCUUUUGAGAAUAAGAGGAUGAGGAUACUAAUUUUUAAAGGGAUGAGGAUACUAAUUUUUAAAGGGAUACAUUAAAGCUCAAAUAUGAAGGUG
rnacentral:misc_RNA from 1 species